GUGCUCAUUUCAGCAGCAUGUAAUCUAAAUUUGGAGCAAUACAGAGAUUUAGCAUGGCCUCUGCGCAAGGAUGACAUGCAAAUUUAUGCACCAUUCCAUCUUUUU
rnacentral:snRNA from 1 species